GUGCCCGUGGCCGGCGGGGCUGCCUCUGCCCUGGCUGCGGGCUCCCUGCUCCGGGAGGCUCGGCCCGUGGAGGGGCGGCGGCGGCGGCGGCUGGAAGUGCGCGGCGGCCCCGCUCAUGGCGAGGUCUAGUUCUCCAUGUUGGAACCACAUAGGAGCCAUGCUUUGAGGUGGAGCUUCUCCGGAUUCAAAUGGAGUGUUUGGCCCCUGUCCUGUGACAGCAGAUGCGUCCGCAAGGGAAGCGUUUGUGGAGCACACACUGCUAGGCACGACAGAUUUUCGAAGAGGCAGCACUGCCAUUGGGCUCCGUCUGCAGCCAAGGACAGUUGAGAAGGAACUGAGGGGGUCGGGUCGUGUGCACACUACAUGAGGCGCCAACGACACCACAACACAGCUGCUGCGCAUGCGUGCUCCGACCGAGCACUGCUACCUAAAAUCUCCAAUCUCCAGCGCAGGGACACACCGACACCUCAAGUGGAGCACCCAC